rnacentral:rRNA from 2 species
UACGUAGGGGGCAAGCGUUGUCCGGAAUUAUUGGGCGUAAAGCGCGCGCAGGCGGCCAUUUAAGUCUGGUGUUUAAUCCCGGGGCUCAACUCCGGGUCGCAUCGGAAACUGGGUGGCUGGAGUGCAGAAGAGGAAAGUGGAAUUCCACGUGUAGCGGUGAAAUGCGUAGAGAUGUGGAGGAACACCAGUGGCGAAGGCGACUUUCUGGGCUGUAACUGACGCUGAGGCGCGAAAGCGUGGGGAGCAAACAGG